CUUCAUCUGAUUCUAAUAAGGAUUAUGUAUGCACAUCUGAUGAACAAUCUGAAGAUGAUGUUGUUUCUCAACUACAUCAUAUAUCAAAGAAGGACAUAUUAAAAUCUUUGAAACUCAAGCUUAAUAAAAGUACAAAAAAUAUUGCUGAUAAUUCAAAGAUAAAAACAAAUGACUCUGAGGAUGCAGAUAAUGAUGAUGAGGACUUAAAUACAACACUGUAUCAAAUUCGUAAGGAGCACGUUAUAAACAAAUUGAAAAGAACCUUAACGAUGCAUGCAAAAAACACUGAGUAUAGUA